UUGUCUGGUUAUUUUUCAGUCUCAAGGUCUUUUCAUUUUCACUACAACUACUGAAAUCAAUGCAUUCAUCUCUUGAAGAAAGUCAGAGAGGAGAAAAGCAAAGCAAAGAAAAGAAAAGAAAAGAAAUUGAAUC
rnacentral:ribozyme from 13 species